AGGCCCUUCAACUCCCCACUUCACAGGAAUGAAAAGAAGAACAGGUAAAAAUGGACCUCUGCCUUCUCCUGGAUUCUGCACCGAGGGAAUGCAAGGAGAAACAGCUCUGGGGGUUUUGUUGGUGGUGCUGUCGUUAUUUGAAUCUCUUCAUUCUGCCAUCCUCCAUCAGGGACAAAAUUCCAGGCAGAUUUUAACAUCAAAGGUGGUGAUGGAUAUGGCUCCGUGGGCACACCAGCUCUGACAGAGCCCAGGGAUUCCAGCAGCUCUGAGUGGGAAGACUGUAAAUGACAAACAGCAGACCCUCUGCCAAAAAAGUGAUUGGACCAGAAAUGCACUAAGUUAAACCAGACUGUUUCCACCCACCCCAUCUAAUGGUGACCCCGCACCUCAGCAAAGAGGCAAAGGCUUUGUAUAAAUGAAGACAGAGACUGUGCUCAUUUCCCACUUGAUGACUCAUGCAAUAUGGAAUGAGAGGCCCCAUCCAUCCACCCGUAAACAACAGAUGAAAAACAAACACUGAGCAAGCAUAUGCUUGUCGUUUUCCUUCUCCUCUCUGCCGUCACCUGCCUUCUCCCACCAUCCGGACCCCAUGCCCCCACGCUGGCCAGUCGGUUGGGUCUACUGUGUGAACAUCCUAACGAUGAAAGCAAGCCACCAUGGCCGCAGGAAUGGGGCGCCACCAGAUCUGAAGCUUCCUGUGGCUUCCAGGUCUUCCCCACGCAGUGAUAUCAGGAGAGGGAAGCCUCUUCUUCGCCUCAGCCGCUUUAGGAAGUAAUUUUUCACCUAUACGGCACAUUAUAGCUUACACAGCAUUUCACAGUCAUUACAGACGUAUAAUCCCUACAGCAUUUUUGGGAGGCGAGUGUUAUGAUCCUCGCUUUCCAGACAAGGAAACCCAGGUUCCGAGAUGUGCUCGCGGCCGCUCAGCGCUUAGGGCCCAGAGUUGCCUGGAGGGAUGCAUGGCCUGCUUCCAGAUGAAAAGAAAUCCACUACUCUCUGGGAGAAAAGGCAAAUUUGCCUAAAAGCAGUUUUCAUAGUGGACUCUCAUGCCACCAGCCUCCUGGCCUGCUCAAGACUGCUUCCCUCCCCGUAAACAGCUGAGGGACCCCCGCCUCCUACGUCCACCCAGUACCCGCCUUAACAUCCCAGGAAACUGGGACCUCACUUUCCUCCCCUCUGUCAGGCCGGCAGGGCCCACCCUGGGUGGGAGUGCGGCCGAGGCAGCUCAGGAGAGCAAAGCCCACGGCCAGGAGCUGCUGGGGGCCAGCGGCCUGCUCUGCCCCUCAGAAGAAACAGGACUGGGAGGAGGGAUUCACUAGUAACAUCCUCAUGAAGGAAAUGUUAUUCUUACCUUGGAUCUGCUCCUGCAGAAAACAGAGGGGGCCUGGGCUCUCGGCCUCGCCUUUCCCAGAGGGGCGACGCUCAGAGGGAAGUGGCCGGCCUCCCCUUUCCAAUUCCCCAGCCCCGCACUCCAUCCACUUCAUACUUAUGUGAAC
rnacentral:lncRNA from 1 species